AGUGAACGCUGGCGGUAGGCCUAACACAUGCAAGUCGAACGGCAGCACAGUAAGAGCUUGCUCUUACGGGUGGCGAGUGGCGGACGGGUGAGGAAUACAUCGGAAUCUACUUUUUCGUGGGGGAUAACGUAGGGAAACUUACGCUAAUACCGCAUACGACCUACGGGUGAAAGCAGGGGAUCUUCGGACCUUGCGCGAUUGAAUGAGCCGAUGUCGGAUUAGCUAGUUGGCGGGGUAAAGGCCCACCAAGGCGACGAUCCGUAGCUGGUCUGAGAGGAUGAGGAGCCACACUGGAAGUGAGACACGGUCCAGGCUCCUACGGGAGGCAGCAGUGGGGAAUAUGGGACAAUGGGCGCAAGCCUGAUCCAGCCAUACCGCGUGGGUGAAGAAGGCCUUCGUGUUGUAAAGCCCUUUUGUUGGGAAAGAAAAGCAGCAGGUUAAUACCCCGCUGUUCUGACGGUACGCAAAGAAUAAGCAACGGCUAACUUCGUG
rnacentral:rRNA from 1 species